GGGGGUUCGUGGCACUCCAAUCCUCCCUGGACAUGGAUGGGCAGCGCUCUGGACGCAUGGAUGACGAUGGGCGGCGCUCUCAUCCAUUCCGGCUGCGGCACCCAGGCAGCAGGUUCAUCUCAACAUCUAAUCCUAUUUUUUUGUAAGAUAUGAAGGCAAUGAACAAUGAAAAGCUGAUAUCUUAAAUUCAUUUAUAGUGUACUUAAUUGUUUGUCCUUGAGGUGGUAAAAGAUCAGAGAAGGUGUGUAAAAGCAGCUGCAGCAAGGGUAAGAUUUUGUUCACCUACAUUUUGAGUGUUCUUGUAUCAUAAUGUACACCUGUUUCAUCUGCAGGGUAAGUGAUAAAGAGAUGGUACCUGGGAGUCGAGAUCAUAGAGAUGGGCCAUGCCAUCGUUUAAGUUGUAGGAUUAUUAUUAACAUUAUGAAUUUGAUACUUUGAUCAGAAAAAUCCUAAGCAUGUUGCCACGCAGGUAGGUGAGAAAAGCAGCAAGGCGGAGCUUUGGUUGACUGCUAAGAUUGCUUCAAGCAUCAGAGAUAUGCUCUUAAGAGACAAACAUGCAGCUUGAGAAGAUAACCCUCAGGGCAGAAAACUACGAGGGUGAAGCAGGGAGUCCAUAAACAUUACCAGGGAGGAUAGGUUUUCUCAGUACUGUCCACUGGAAGAGCAUGUCCCUCGCUAUAAGGAAUGGUCAUUGUCGACAGUUAGCAAACUAACAUGUAUGGCGCAUCAAACGGCGACUUUGGCUCUGGUUAAUAUCUUUUCUGAUAUCCUUUUUCUUUCUUUGCCUUCUGAGUGUUAGUGAGUGUUAGUAAGUAUUUGGAUUACUUUCUUUUCCUCAUUACCACCAGUGAAUAGAGAUGGUAGAGGAGAGGGAGGGGGGGAGGUGUUUGCUGGUCUAUUGUAGUUUGGAAUGCUUCUUACAUGAAUAUGUUUCUCCUCAGAGAGCAAUCUAAACAAUUUCAGGUUCAUGGAGUUAAGUUUUUCAUUCUAUUCAGACUGCCAUAAGGAUUAGCAAUCCGGUACUGCUCCUCACUAUGAGUUAAAUACCAUUGUAAUUAAUCUUGUUCUUCCCUUUAUUUUUUUUCUGGUCAUGCUGCAUUUUUGUCACAAAAUCUUGAGUCCCAUUUUAACUUUGUUCCUAUAGUUUCCAAAACCAGGCCUCUGGUGGCCUCUGACUACCAUUAUUUCAGAUCCUAUUGAUCUUUUAUGCCAAAUUCAGGUUAGCAAAUUCACAAACCUUGUGCCAAUCGACUUUUAGUUGGUUAGUGGAGAGGCUCAGCUUGUUUUGCAAAUAUGAUAGUCAUUUUAUUUACUGAAAAAAGUUAUUUUCUGACAAAGUUUCACAUUUUUAUUUCCUGAUAAAAUUUUGAUUAUGUUCUAUGGGGCUGUCAUCUCUCAGUCUGAAACCAAAAUUCACACAUCCACUGUUGGAUCCAGGAGGAACUAAAUUUAGACAAAAGGCUGGAGAUCUUGAAAAUAAGCUUCUCGAGAUGCAAAAAUG